ACUUAGCUGACGAGUCCCAAAUAGGACGAAACGCGUGUCCUGGAU
rnacentral:hammerhead_ribozyme from 1 species